GGGGAAGCAAUGUUGUAAAUCUCAGGCCCCACAGAGACACUCAGAACAAGACACGAGAGUUGAGUUCUGGGACAAAAUCAUCGCAGCAGAGGUACUGGUAGGAUAAUGACCAUCGGACAAUUUUGGUUUAUCGAAGAAAAGUUCAUUACUCCUCUCCACCAUCUGUGGGGGCUGCCAUUAUUCUCAGUUCAUAGAUGAGAAAAUUGCAGGGCAAAAGGCUUUGUGACUUGUCCCAGGUCAACAAGCUAACAGGUGUCUGGAAUUUGAACCCGAGCCCACGCUGUUCGUUACUGGCCUCUGUGCCUCUCCCAUGGCAACCAAGGGUAGGUGAAGGGAGACCGCAGAUUCCUGGGGGCAGAGCGGCUUACAGCGCCGGGCUCUUAAAGGCAUGUUUGGAUUGCUCUGUGGGGACCUAUCCCAGUGCCUCUUCCACUCUGUGGAUUUUCCCUCCGUGAACUGGACCCGGUCAUCUGGAGUGAAGACAGCCCCCACUGAGGAGCCAGGAAGUGGAAACAACCUAAACGGCAUUCAACUAAUGAAUAAUGGGCUACAUAUAUACAAUGGAAUUCUCUUGGUAAAGAAAAAUGAAAUUUGCAGGACACAGAUGGAACCAGAGACUAUUGUGCUGACUAAGGUAGCCCCCACCCUGCCCCCAGGAAAGAAACACCACAUUCACUCACACGGAGGCAUAUGGCUAUAGUUUGCACGAAGUGAGGCUUUACUAUCAGAGAGAGAUAUUGGUAAUGACAUAGAUGCCCUUUACCAUGUUAGACAUGCUUUCCUUUUCCUUAUUUACCAAAAGAUUUUUAUCAUAAAAUCAUUUGAAUUUUA